rfam:Brassica napus, WGS project CCCW01000000 data, contig: 715
AUAGGAUGAUCCAGGCUUGUAGCACCUUUGCCCUUGAAUCUCUCCCAGGCUUCACUGAAUCCUUCCAAGUUCUUCUGUUGAAAGCUGGAAAUCUUAUUUCUUAGCUU